rnacentral:rRNA from 1 species
CCUACGGGGGGCAGCAGUGGGGAAUCUUGGGCAAUGGGCGCAAGCCUGACCCAGCAACGCCGCGUGAAGGAAGAAGGCCUUCGGGUUGUAAACUUCUUUUAUCAGGGACGAAGCAAGUGACGGUACCUGAGGAAUAAGCCACGGCUAACUACGCACCAGCAGCCGUGGUAAUACGUAGGUGGCAAGCGUGAUCCGGAUUUACGGGGUGUAAAGGGCGUGUAGGCGGGACUUCAAGUCAGAUGUGAAAACCAUGGGCUAAACCUAUGGCUUGCAUUUGAAACUGUAGUGCUUGAGUACUGGAGAGGCAGACGGAAUUCCUAGUGUAGCGGUGAAAUGCGUAGAUAUUAGGAGGAACACCAGUGGCGAAGGCGGUCUGCUGGACAGCAACUGACGCUGAGGCGCGAAAGCGUGGGGAGCAAACAGGAUUAGAUACCCGGGUAGUC